rnacentral:rRNA from 1 species
UACGGGGGAGCAAGCGUUGUUCGGAUUUAUUGGGCGUAAAGGGCGCGUAGGCGGCUACGCACGUCCGUUGUGAAAUCGCUCGGCUCAACUGGGCGGGGUCAGCGGAUACGGUGUAGCUGGAGCAAGCGUAGGGGGCAAGUGGAAUUCCCGGUGGUAGUGGUGGAAAUGCGUAGAUAUCGGGAGGAACACCAGUGGCGAAGGCGGUUGCCUGGAGCUUUGCUGACGCUGAGGCGGCGAAAA